rnacentral:tRNA from 1 species
UCUAUAUUAGUAUAUUUAGUAUAUUUAAUUUCCAAUUAAAAGGUUAAUUUAUAUAGGU